UCCCAUAUUCCUCAUUCAAUUUUUCGGACUAGUCCAGUAAACAACUAAGUCUAUUUGUUUGUACCUAAUUGUAAAAUUUUAUAAAAUCGUUAUAAAAGUCCGUUCCGUAACUGCAAAUAUAUAUUACGACUGCAAAGGUUUUCGAAAGUUUUGAGUCGGAACUGAAGUCUUUUGAAGGCCGAACAGCAGUUGUAAAUUGCCAACUAGUGCCUAUUUCUGUGAGGAGGUUCUACUAAACAUAUCAAAAUGUGUUGCGGACCUUGCGGAGGCUGCUGUGGACCCUGCGGUCCUUGCUGCGGACCUUGCGGUGGCUGCUGCGGUCCCUGUGGACCUUGCUGUGGUCCCUG